ACUGUGCAUUCCUUCCCCUCAGAGCGGAUCAUCCUCCUCAACAACAAUAACAACGGUGACAUUUACAGCCAGGUCCCCUGGGGAGGCCAGGUUUCUUGUCACGAAGCACAUGCUGUGGCUCAAUGCACGCUGUUAUUCUACUGGACUUCAACAAGGAAGCACAAGCGUCCAGGUCUGGAUCCGGACCGUGGUCUGCCUGUGAUGUACCUCUUGACGAGAAGAAGUGCAGGAAAAAGUUCACCAGAGGUUCAUUCCUGCCCAGCAGAGGAGUGCCAAAGUAGGACUGCCAUAUUGUGGACUCAUGAACUUCAGGCCCCAAGAGGAGGAAAUGUCCUCGCCUUGGUGCUUGCAUGCAUGUGCACAGAGAGAGUAUUUAGUAUGCUUAACUGCUUUGGUGUGCAGCAUUUAAAAACACGAUGAGAUCAUCAUCAUUACUGGUCUCUUCGGCUGAUGCAUGGAAAACUGUGACAGCGUUGGUCACGUAAAUGGAGGAGAUAUUCUUGCCACUUGUACCAUUCAGCAUGUCAAAGAGACACGAAGCAGCAGUGCACCAGACCAAAGAACUUCAGUGUUUUCAGGACUGUUUUGUUUGCGUGAGUAAACUUCAAACCCACAGUAUGAUUGACCUUAUCUGAACUUUGGAAUUACAGGACAAAUGUAUCAGUGCAUGGUGCUGUCAGGCGGCGCACUGUCACCUUUCCAUGUUUAUGGUUUGAUAACAUGCAAAUAUUUUUUUUUUAUGCUGAAGGUAAAUGUGUGACAGCAACUGCUCAAACAGACAGUACCUCACGGUCUCAGAGUUGAAGUGUUCAUAUAAAUGCAGGUCAAUUGUAAAAUGCAAUAUCGUUUGGUGAUUUUAUCGUGUGGAAUUGGGUGAUUUAUUCUGAUUUAU